CGGCUCUCUCUCUCUCUGCUCGCCGGCUUCCCGCCAUGGCAACUGCCCCGCGCUGGGGGGGCGGUCUGUAUUUCCCCCUCCCUUGCAAGGCUGCGCCCCUCCCGCCCCACAGCUGUGCUAGCUCGGCAGCGGGGGCUGACGUUUUCCAAGGGCCGGGGCAAGGAGACGUGACGGGCCAGUCGGAGCGAUUGAGUCGAGUUUCCCUGUGCAGAGGCUCCCCCCACCCUGGUCCCGCGGGGGGUGGUGGCAGGAGUGGGGUAAGAUCAGGCUAGCGCGGGUUGCUCUCAGACACGGUGCUAUGAAUGUUUCCCAGGCACAACAGAAGCACGUCGGCUGAUCCCCUCCACCGCGUGUAAAGACAAGCGAUAAUACAAUCCGGGGGAGAGUAUCCAGAGAACUGAGCAUCAAACCCGUCUGACUCCACUAUUUCGUCUCGAAAUAGUGAUUGUGAUGAGGAGAAAAUGGUGAAGAAGCGAAUGGGAAGCUGUCCUCUGUCUCGGAAGAUUCAGCAGAAAGACUGGUAGCUAUAAAGGGAUAUCCCUCCUAUAUUGUGGAAAGAAUAUAAGAUGAGCUUCACAAUUUCAUUGUGGUUGCUUUCAUAUGCAGGAAGCUUUUCAGUUUAAGAGAAAAUCUGAAUCUGACUUUCAUAUAACACAAAUAUUGUAAAAGCAGUAUCUGUGUGUCAGCAUUUCUGUGCAUAUUUUAAAGGGCUUCUAAUGUGAGGAAAAACACGCAAUGACAAGUGUGGAAAAGAGCAAGCACUAAAUUACUGUCAGAAAAAUAAACGCAGUAGCGCGCUGCUGCACGGUGAUUUACGGGGGCAAUUAGCCACCACCCCACAGAGCUGCUGAGGACAGCACUGCUGCCUGCAGAAGUGUCAGGCAAAGAGGAAGAGGAGCUUUGGCUUUGCCUUUCCAGACAACUUUUCACACAACAAGAGGGGGAGGGGCGCGGCAUAUGCUGUAGCAGGUCCUCGUUCCGUGUGUACCUAACUCUUCCCGCCUCCCUCCCCCCAAACUGAAUCCCACACAACGUGUGUUGAGCACUGCAGUCACCUGCGGUGUGGCCGGGAGAGGGGCGCUCCAGCUGCAAAUCUCUCCUGGUGCCCAGGCGAAGUUGUAUUUUUAAGUCCCCACCCCGCCUCUCUAGCCCGCCAUGAUCUCCCCCCCUGUGCCUUGUCUCCUCACAUCUUGCAGCCAUGGGCUUUGCGUUUAAAAACAACAUUCUCCGUGGAGCUUGGGUUCUUUAGGAAUCUGGAGUAGUCUGCAAAUCUGCUUGUUUAUCAUGGGACCCAAGCUGGCUAGCAGGUGCAGAGGGUGAUUAAAGAGACUGUAAAAUAAAGGUUAAAUGAAAAAUA